rnacentral:rRNA from 1 species
CAGUAGCCGCGGUAAUGCGUAGGUGGCAAGCGUUGUCCGGAAUUAUUGGGCGUAAAGGGCUCGCAGGCGGUUUCUUAAGUCUGAUGUGAAAGCCCCCGGCUCAACCGGGGAGGGUCAUUGGAAACUGGGAAACUUGAGUGCAGAAGAGGAGAGUGUAAUUCCACGUGUAGCGGUGAAAUGCGUAGAGAUGUGGAGGAACACCAGUGGCGAAGGCGACUCUCUGGUCUGUAACUGACGCUGAGGAGCGAAAGCGUGGGGAGCGAACAGGAUUAGAUACCCCCGUAGUCCCUGUCUCUUAUAC